UCAAUCAGAAUUGAGAGUGAAUUGGUUGUUUGAAAAGGCCAUCAUGGGUGGUGUAGCUGUUUCUAUUACAUCUAUAAAUCAGUUUCUUCUUCUGCUUCUUUUGGGUUAUCUAUACCUUGAAACCACUGUUGCAGGUCUCUCUGUGAGAUGCAUAGAGGGAGAGAGACAGGCACUGAUCGAGUUUAAAGCUGGUUUAACUGAUACUUCAGGGCGGCUCUCUUCUUGGAUCGGUGAUGAUUGCUGCACAUGGAGAGGUGUGGGCUGCAACAAUGUGACCGGUCAUGUCAUCAAACUCGACCUACGAAAUCUACCGGUACUAAUCAAUGACUCCGUUCUUGAGUUUGAUAUGUAUGGGAAUGAAGAAACAUACAUAGAUUGGGAAGCUACCAAUAAGUAUUCUUUGGGUGGAAAGAUAAGUUCUUCAUUGCUCAAAUUGAAACACUUGAAUUACUUGGACCUCAGCUUCAACAAUUUUCAAGGAACCCAUAUUCCAGAAUUCAUUGGUUCACUUGAGAACUUGAGGUAUCUCAAUCUCUCUCUUGCAUCAUUCAGUGGAACAAUUCCUACUCACCUUGGAAACUUGUCUAGAUUGCAAUAUCUUGAUCUCCAUUCUUUAGGUUAUUAUGAUCUAACCAUCAACAAUCUUCAAUGGCUUUUUGGUCUUUCUUCUUUGAGGUACUUAGACAUGAGUUUUGUGAGAUUUACAGCUAAGUCUUCAAGUGACUGGAUAAAACCUGUAACUAUGCUUCCUUCUUUGUCAGAACUACACAUGUCCAGCUGUCAACUUUCCAAUAUCCCUUCCUCUCUUCCAUCUUCAAAUUUUACAUCUCUUUUAGUCCUUGAACUUUCCUACAACAACUUAAACUCCUCAAUUCCUCCCUGGAUUUUUAAUAUUAGCAGUCUUGCUGUUCUUGAUCUCAGCUCGAAUAAUCUCAACGGUCCUAUUCCUCCCUGGCUUUUUAAUAUUAGCAGUCUUACUGUUCUUGAUCUCAGCUCGAAUAAUCUCAACGGCAUUAUUCCAGAUAUUUUUGCCAACACUAGUUCUCUUCAAAACCUUGACAUAUCGGCUACAGGCAUUGGAGGCAGGAUACCAAGAACUUUGGGUAUUCUUUGUAAGUUGAAAAGGUUAGAUCUAUCGGAGUGCAACAAUAUUAAUGGCGAAAUCACAGAAUUUGUGAACAUUUUGUCUAUGUGCAAUUCUAAUAGCUUGGAGGCACUAAAUUUAUGGAGGACUGGAGUUUCAGGUCUGAAUCCAUCAUCUAUUGGAAACUUGUCGUCAUUGAUAUAUUUGCAUCUCUCAUCAACUCAUCUUUCAGGUCCAAUUCCGGCAUCUAUCGGAAACUUAACAUCCCUGAGAUCAUUAUACCUCUUUGAAAUUCAAAUCACAGGACCCAUUCCGAUGUCCAUUGGACGAUUGUCAUCCUUAAGAGUUUUGGUCCUUUCCUACAAUAAUCAAAUGGAUGCAUCCAUUCCUGAAUCUAUUGGAGAACUUUCAGAGUUGGUAGUAUUGAGAUUAUCUGAGAGUUCUUGGAGGGGUGUUAUUUCAGAAAAUCAUUUUAAGAAUGUCAAAAGUUUGAAAGUGUUAGACAUCCAAUUAGAAACUCCAAACAAGCCAUUGGUUUUUGAAGUGAGUAGGGACUGGGUGCCAAAUUUUCGUCUGGAGGAACUCAGUAUGUCUAACAUCCAAAUGGGCCCUAAAUUUCCUUCAUGGCUUGCAACUCAGAAUGACCUCUCCACUUUAAUUCUCAGAAAUGUAGGGAUUUCAGACACCAUACCAAAUAGCUUUUGGAAUUUAUGUGCUCGGCAGAGGUUAAGUAAUUUGGAACUCUCUCAAAAUCAAAUAAGAGGGAGGGUACCAAAUACUUUGGAAUUUUUCAGCGCAGAUGUUGUAGAUUUGAGUUUCAAUCAGAUAGAGGGUGCUUUCCCUCUUUGGUCUAAUGUCUCUUAUCUAUAUCUUGGGAAAAAUUUAUUCACGGGACAGAUUCCUCAGAACAUUGGUGAAGUUUUAAGGUCUGGAGUAACUUCAUUAGAUUUUUCUGGGAAUUUUUUAAAUGGGAGCAUCCCUUCUUCUAUAUGUGAACUAAGGAGCUUGAGGUCUCUUACUCUUUCAAAUAACAGUUUAUGGGGAGAACUUCCUGCUUGUUGGAAGGACAUGAAGGGCUUGCGAUUUUUAGAUUUUGGAAACAACAAUCUGUCAGGCAAGAUUCCUCAAUCAAUAGGUUCUUUGUCUUCACUGCUAUUUCUAAUACUUAGCAACAACUUUUUUCGUGGGGAGCUUCCAUCAUCAUUGCAAAAAUGCACAAAGUUAGUGAGUCUUGACCUUGGCAAAAAUAACUUCUCUGGUAUCAUACCAACAUGGAUAGGAGAAAGUGUAUCAAAUUUGAAUAUUAUCAACCUCCGUUCCAACUUUUUUACUGGAAAAAUUUCUUCACAAGUAUGCAACCUUCCUAUGCUUCACUUAUUGGACCUCUCACACAAUAAUCUGUCAGGAUCCAUCCCACAAUGUUUGGGCAACUUGAGUGCUCUAACAUCAAGUGGUAUAGAGAACAUUACUUCAGGUAAUGGCGAGCACAUGACGGUAGUUACAAAAGGAAGAGAACUUCAAUACAGCAACACUCUUGGCUUAGUGAAGAGCAUUGAUCUUUCAAACAAUCAUCUAUCAGGAAAAAUUCCAGAUGGGAUAACAAGACUAGUGGAAUUGGGUACCUUGAACUUAUCAAUGAAUCAUUUGAUAGGAAAGAUCCCAGAGAAAAUAGGGGAUUUGCGAAAUUUGGAAACCUUUGACCUCUCUGUAAACCAACUUUCUGGUCACAUUCCUCCAAGCAUAUCUUCUUUAACUUUCUUGAGCCACUUGAACCUAUCGUAUAACAAUUUAUCUGGGAAAAUUCCAUCAAGCAACCAGCUCCAGACUAUCAGUGAUGCAUCCAUCUAUACUGGAAACUCUGGACUUUGUGGGUUGCCCCUCGCUAAUAAUUGUCCAGGCGAGGACAAAAUUCCACCUCCAGCACAUGCCAAAGUUGAUAGAAAAAAUGAAGAUGAAGAAGAUGGAGAAGGGAUGGAUAUGCUAUGGUUUUACAUUGGAAUCAUUAUGGGCUUCAUUGUGGGAUAUUUGGGUGUUUGGGGCAUAUUAUUUUUCAAGAAAUCUUGGAGGAUUGCCUACUUUCGGUUUUGGUCAUGUGAAUGAAGAGCAUUUGCAAAGGAAGUUCGAGCUAAGAGGAAACAAAACUUCACCGGCCUAAAGAAAUUGAUCUACGUCAUCUCAAUUUCCUAUCUUAUCAUAAGACAAUAAAAGGGUUCAAAGAAGUAUCAUCUCAGUAAUUCCUCCAUUCUGGGAAUGUGACUGAUCUCACAUGGUUGAAAUUGAUUGAUCAAGGAACUAAACUCAUAGAAGAUUGCGAGAGAUCUUCAGCAGGGGAACUUCCUUUGCUAUUAAACCAAGCACAAGUGGUUGCGAUCCAAGAGAAUUUGCAAUUUUGUGGGCCUGCGGCCGUUCUCAAAGCUAGAAAAUAACCCAACUUUAACAAUCACCAUGAAUUGGCGUUGAUGGGAAGAUGUGAUCUGAAUCAGCUGCAUCUAAACUUCCCUUGCUCUUUCUGAUUUCUAAUAAUUGCAGAUACCUCCAUGGCUUUGGAUGUUAUUUGAAAAGGAAUG